CACGUAGGAGGCGAACGUUAUCCGGAUUUACUGGGCGUAAAGCGCGUGUAGGUGGUUUGGUAAGUAGGGCGUGAAAGCUCCUGGCUCAACUGGGAGAGGACGUUCUAAACUGCCGAACUAGAGGAUGGUAGAGGGAGGUGGAAUUCCGGGUGUAGCGGUGGAAUGCGCAGAUAUCCGGAGGAACACCAGUGGCGAAGGCGGCCUCCUGGACCAUUCCUGACACUCAGACGCGAAAGCUAGGGUAGCAAACGGGAUUAGAGACCCCGGUAGUCCUAGCCCUAAACGAUGUAGACUUGGCGUCGGUGGUUUAAUCACCAUCGGUGUCGAAGCUAACGCGAUAAGUCUACCGCCUGGGGACUACGGCCGCAAGGUUAAA
rnacentral:rRNA from 1 species